rnacentral:rRNA from 1 species
AUUGAACGCUGGCGGCAUGCCUUACACAUGCAAGUCGAACGGUAACAGGUUAAGCUGACGAGUGGCGAACGGGUGAGUAAUACAUCGGAACGUGCCCAGUAGUGGGGGACAGCCCGGCGAAAGCCGGAUUAAUACCGCAUACGACCUAAGGGUGAAAGGGGGGGAUCGCAAGACCUCUCGCUAUUGGAGCGGCCGAUGUCAGAUUAGGUAGUUGGUGGGGUAAAGGCCCACCAAGCCGACGAUCUGUAGCUGGUCUGAGAGGACGACCAGCCACACUGGGACUGAGACACGGCCCAGACUCCUACGGGAGGCAGCAGUGGGGAAUUUUGGACAAUGGGCGCAAGCCUGAUCCAGCCAUGCCGCGUGCGGGAAGAAGGCCUUCGGGUUGUAAACCGCUUUUGUCAGGGAAGAAAUCCUUUGGGUUAAUACCUCGGGGGGAUGACGGUACCUGAAGAAUAAGCACCGGCUAACUACGUGCCAGCAGCCGCCGCAGUAA